rnacentral:rRNA from 1 species
UACGAAGGGGGCUAGCGUUGCUCGGAAUCACUGGGCGUAAAGCGCACGUAGGCGGAUUGUUAAGUCAGGGGUGAAAUCCUGGAGCUCAACUCCAGAACUGCCUUUGAUACUGGCGAUCUCGAGUCCGGGAGAGGUGAGUGGAACUGCGAGUGUAGAGGUGAAAUUCGUAGAUAUUCGCAAGAACACCAGUGGCGAAGGCGGCUCACUGGCCCGGUACUGACGCUGAGGUGCGAAAGCGUGGGGAGCAAACAGGAUUAGAAACCCUGAGUACGU